UAAUAAGUUAUAGCAAGUGAUUUUUAAGGAGUAAAAAUUUGUGUGUGAUUAUUAAGCUCUGAAUUGGGAGUGGAAGAGUCUGUGUAUGUUGGGGUUCUUUCUCUCCUUCCUUCCUAUGGAUCUUCAUGUCGUCUCUCUUAAUUCUGGGAUGAAGAAUCGAAAACAAGACGAACAACAUGCCAUGAGACCCCACAUGAAAGGUGAAGAUCUUGGUUUCCUUUAUGUUAUGACUGGUCAAAGAUUUCUUGUGAUAUUUCAACCUGUUGAAACUACCCAAAUACUCAAGAGUAGUACUGCUGAAGUAAGUGGAAGGUAGCUCUUGGAUUACUUCUUUAUUUUGUCUCUUUUACUAGUGGUGCCUUGCUCUGAUCAUGUAAUAUUGGGUUGUGUUAAACGCUUAUUUUAUUCCUUAUGUGUGAUUAUGUUGAAGUCAUAAGACUAAUUUUGUUGUUGAGAAUUCUUAAGAUGUUGAGUUGAUUGAUUACAACUCUCUUAUUUUAUUAUUAAAUUGAAGUUGAGACUA